CCUACGGGAGGCUGCAGUGAGGAAUAUUGGUCAAUGGCCGGAAGGCUGAACCAGCCAUGCCGCGUGAAGGUCAGUGCCCUAUGGGCGUUAAACUUCUUUUGUGCGGGAGCAAUAAUGGUCACGUGUGGCCAGACGAGAGUACCGUACGAAUAAGCAUCGGCUAACUCCGUGCCAGCAGCCGCGGUAAUACGGGGGAUGCAAGCGUUAUCCGGAGUUAUUGGGUUUAAAGGGGGCGUAGGCUGUGAGGUAAGUCAGCGGGGAAAUGCCCCCGCUCAACGGGGUGAAGUGCCAUUGAUAAUGCCUUGCUGGAAUGCGGAUGCCGUAGGAGGAAUGUGUAGUGUAGCGGUGAAAUGCAUAGAUAUCACACAGAACACCGAUUGCGAAGGCAUCUCACGAAUCCGCGAUUGACGCUGAUGCACGAAAGCGUGGGUAUCAAACAGGAUUAGAUACCCUAGUAGUC
rnacentral:rRNA from 1 species